CAUGUCCUUUUGAUAAUAAUUUAAGGUCUGAUCUGCUCAAUGAUUAUUUAAAUAGCCGCAGUAUUUUGACUGUGCAAAGGUAGCAUAAUAAUUAGUUUCUUAAUUGGGGACUGGUAUGAAUGAUUGGACAAGAAGAUUUCUGUCUCUUUUUUAGAUUUUUUGAAUUUUAUUUUUAAGUGAAAAAGCUUAAAUUUUUAUAAAAGACGAGAAGACCCUAUAGAGUUUAAUAUUCUUAAGUAAUUUAAUAUUGGAAUUUAAUUUUACUUUAGUUUAUUUAGUUGGGGUGACUUAAAGAUUUAACAAAUUCUUUAAAAUUUUAAUUAGUAAUUUCUAAAUUUUUAAUCUAUUUUUAAUAAAAAUAAAAUAAAUUACCUUAGGGAUAACAGCGUAAUUUUUCUUUAAAGCUCUUAUUAAAAGGAAAGUUUGCGACCUCGAUGUUGGAUUAAAAUUAAUUUUUGGUGCAGUAACUUAAAAAUUGGGUCUGUUCGACCUUUAAAAUUUUACAUGAUCUGAGUUUAAACCGGUGUAAACCAGGUUGGAUUCUAUCUUUAGAUAGUUAAUAUAUUUUAGUACGAAAGGACCAAAUAUAUAUUAAAUUAAUU
rnacentral:rRNA from 1 species